AACGCUGGGGGUGCGCCUUAUGCAUGCAAGUCGAGCGAAGCUUUUCAGUAGUUUACUACAGAAAAUGACUGAGCGGCGAACGGGUGAGUAACGCGUGAGCAAUCUACCUUAGUUACAGGGAUAGCCCGAGGAAACUCGGAUUAAUACCUGAUAUUCUUUAUUUCUCGCAUGAGAAUAAAAGGAAAGGUCAGCCGAACUAAGAUGAGCUCGCGUUCUAUCAGCUAGUUGGUGAGGUAAAAGCUCACCAAGGCUACGACGGAUAGCUGGUCUGAGAGGACGAUCAGCCACACUGGGACUGAGACACGGCCCAGACUCCUACGGGAGGCUGCAGCAGGGAAUAUUGCGCAAUGAGCGA
rnacentral:rRNA from 1 species